CGGCGCCCUAGAGGUUCCCACUUUUCCGGCCCAGCUUUUCCUCUAGAGUUGUUGUACUAACUCUAUGACGAGAGGUAUGCUGUGCGGACACCAGGAGACCUGAACAAGCCGUCUAAAUCCAAUGUCGUCUUCUCCAUGAUCCACUCCGGGUGCAGAAUCUCUCAAGACAAUGUACCGUUUGUGGUUGUCAAAGAAACCGUCAAAGUUUGCAUAUUUGGAACGGAAUACUACAAAAAGACUCGAGAGAAAAACAAAGGCCAGGGUUCAAGCACCGCUGACUGGCCGAAGGAGGUGUACGAGAAGAAGCGAAUGGCAAGGGACACCUCCAAGGCACAAAGAAGAAAGGGUGUGCAGCGACAAUUAAUUUGAAGUGGAUUGAAUUGUACCCAGAUUUCCAGGUGGACCUUCCCCAGCCAUGCGGCCAGACAAAAGAGGGUCGGCUGAAAGCAGACAAGGCCAAGCAGCUGCAGGAGGUGCUUGACGCAGAGCAGCAGACUGUGGCCAAAGAGACGCGGAUAAACAUUAAAAUUGCCAACUGCGGUUCCGAUCGUAACCAUGGUUUCGAGGACAUGGAAGCUUUUAGCCAAAACAUGGACAGGAACAUUGCUGAGCGAAUUCAAAUGUUGGCAAGGGAAGGAAUUACAUCUAUAUCAGAUGUGAAAAAGUGUCCGUACUAUUACGUGCACGACGUACUUUUUGCAAACAAGGAAAAGCCUGAUAGCAGCUGCAGUGCCUUUUUCCCAACACAUCGUGAUAUCAGCAACCAGAUCCAAGCUGUUCUUAAGAAAGACCGCUUCAGUACAGUCGAUCAAGAAAAUGCUAGCAUCCUUAUUAAAAAGAUCAGGGGUGAGCAACCCGAAUCCUCCAUUUUGUAUUGGUCAUAUGCAGCACGCAGCUGCGUGGGUAGCAACGACUCGAACAACGUGGAAGAG